rnacentral:lncRNA from 1 species
AUGACUUGGGCCAAUUACACGACUGCAAAGCUAGAGCUGCCAACAGGGCUCCAGGGAGCUUGGCUUCUGUAGAAGUUCUAAGGAAGCGGUACGAACUCCACGGCGGUGGGGCGCUAACUAGCAGGGACCCCUGCAAGUGUUGGUCGGGGGCCUCGAGCUGCCUGAGCUGACACGAGGGGAGGGGUCUGUGUAGCCAACAGGUGACCGAAGGGCUUGCCUGCCCACAGCUUACUUGGCCAAGGGGUUUCUGAAGUUCCUGCCGGCAAACUUAGCCUUGCUGCCCACCCUCCUU